rnacentral:rRNA from 1 species
UACGAAGGGGGCUAGCGUUGCUCGGAAUCACUGGGCGUAAAGCGCACGUAGGCGGCUUUUUCAGUCAGGGGUGAAAUCCUGGAGCUCAACUCCAGAACUGCCUUUGAUACUGAGAAGCUUGAGUCCGGGAGAGGUGAGUGGAACUGCGAGUGUAGAGGUGAAAUUCGUAGAUAUUCGCAAGAACACCAGUGGCGAAGGCGGCUCACUGGCCCGGUACUGACGCUGAGGUGCGAAAGCGUGGGGAGCAAACAGG